GCAGAUCUAAACAGGCGAUUGCUUACAAGAAAUAUGGCAACAGAGAAUGCAACCACCGCUGUAAAAAUAAAGAUGUGUGUGGGCAUGACUGCUAUGCAGAUGUUAAAUCAAGCUGAAAAUGUGGAUCUCAAACAAUUUGUUUUUACACCUAAGUCUUUAUUGCCAGCCUUGCCAAGGUAUUACUAAGAAUUGUUUUGUGUAUAAAUUUAUUUUACAACUUUCUGCAAUUGUUUUGCAGACUUGUCAGUGAUUUACUUUUUUUAAUAGGUCUAACAACAAACUGUCAUCUUUACCACCUUCAGUGGACCAGGCAGAUAAUAUUAAUACCUUAGAAGUAUCUCAGAAACAGCUGCAAUCCUGGAAUUGUGGAAAGAGUAGUAAGUUACUGCUAAUGUUUAAAAUUAAACUGUUCACUGUUUUAAUGUUUAAAUUAAUGCUUCAUAUUUUUCACACAGAUAAAAGCAGAUACUGUUUUUCAGAUGCUUUGAAUGUGGACUUUGAACUGAGAGAUGAUAUUUGGGAUGAUAUUGAUGAUGAGAAAUUGGUAUUUGCCAGUAAUUUUGUCAGUAGAGAAUUAGAACAUGGAAAUAUCUGUCUUCAAAGUCCAGAUGAAUGUCAACCCCUCUGCCGGUAUACAUCAAGCAAUGCCACAAAUAACAUUUCAAAAGAGUAAGACU
ensembl:lncRNA